CCAGAAGGUGUGUCAUGUGAUAUCAUUACGGAAACAUUUAAACUGAUAUUGUGAGUCAGUCAUUGUCCAACGUUGUGAAUUCAAAGCAAACCCUUCAAAACAAAGAUAUGAGAUCUCUGGACAUGCAUAAUUAAGCACCAGAACACACUGACGGUCCUACUGCUAAAAGAAUGGAAUGAAAUUAAAAGGAGGGAUGACCCAAAAAUUCCUGGUGCUGGGUAAAAGUGACAUUCUGCUGGGCUGACCGAAUGCGGUUUUCUGCCGUUUAUUCUACAAUCACGUGGGUCACAAAACAGCCCUGACCCAUUACAGCGAGGACUCCAUAAGAUUUCUGAAGGUGCCUGUGGUAUCCGAC